UACGUAGGGUGCAAGCGUUAAUCGGAAUUACUGGGCGUAAAGCGUGCGCAGGCGGUUCGGAAAGAAAGAUGUGAAAUCCCAGGGCUUAACCUUGGAACUGCAUUUUUAACUACCGAGCUAGAGUGUGUCAGAGGGAGGUGGAAUUCCGCGUGUAGCAGUGAAAUGCGUAGAUAUGCGGAGGAACACCGAUGGCGAAGGCAGCCUCCUGGGAUAACACUGACGCUCAUGCACGAAAGCGUGGGGAGCAAACAGG
rnacentral:rRNA from 2 species